GGGCGGCAGGGAGUGUCAGAGAAGGGAAGAGUGGGGAUGAGACUAGACUGGACGAGGCCGAGAGACACAGGUCCAGAUCCACACUUAGGGUCGGUGGAAUCGGAGGAAUUGCGAUUUGUGGGAGGACCACGCCCUUUCUGCGACGAUGGUGAGGGGCAAGCAAAAGAUCGAGGCUCAGAAGCGAGCUGCGGAGCGUAAUGAGAAGCCGAAGGGCUCGCAGAUUGAAGCGCGAAGCGCGGGCUUGAAAACGAUUUGCGUUGUUUGUAAGUCGGUUCCAAGGUCAUGCUAAUCCUCUAGCACAUGAGUCUCCGUUGACAUUAAUGCGGCACAAGACCACAGCUAUGGGAUAUGCGCCGAAAAAAAGCACCUCUCGCAAAUCACAAGCAGCUAGUGGAUCACUAUGGCUCGAAGCAUCCCAAAGAGACGCCUCCACCAGCUCCCUCAACCUAGCAACACCUUCGAUUUCUGAAUUAUGGAGUCACCUCUGGGGCUUUCGAAGCAAACAUGUUAACCAGCUUCAAAGCUGGCAUUUAUGUAGUUGUAAAUUUGUGAGAUUAUGGUCUGAAAUCAUGAGUUCACUUGUUAGUUUGGAAUAAGGACCUGAUUUAUGCUACUAAAAGCUGGAAUUCUCCUAGGUUCCGAACUUAUAUUGUGGACACGAUAUGCUUGGUUAAUGGAGUUCCUGACUAAAAAUUCAGUUAGGCGCUUCGCUUGAAGCCACAGUUUUGAAACG